UCUCGAUAAAGGCAAACUUGUCGAAAGGCAGGGACGCAAAGCUACUAGGUCUAUGGUAUACAAGUAUACUAUGAUUGCUAGGCUACCUAC
rnacentral:ncRNA from 1 species